CCUUAGCUCAGCUGGAUAGAGCGCUGCCCUCCGAAGGCAGAGGCCAGAGGUUCGAAUCCUCUAGGGU
rnacentral:ncRNA from 13 species